CCAUAAGCUGAAAUCAGGCAAAAGCGCUUCUGCGAAAACACCUAUUCAAGCAAGCCCUGAGCUAGCAUAGUGAUCGCGUUCAACGUCCUCGUGUCGAUGGAAUCGGCCGCGUUUCAAAAUCAUGAAUCGUGCUCGUUCGAUGUUCCCAAUUGGAUUUUGGUUCAAACUGCGAAUUGGAUCCUAAGUUCAACAAGAAUCGCGUCCAAUUCCAACUAAAUCGAGAUCAGGACACGCUUCCGCGAUUGCUUCUGACAGGCCUUCUCGAUGAAAUUUCUCUCCCUAGUCAAUCACUACUGCCGCGACGUGUAUGUAUAUGCGUGCAUCUUCUUCUUCAGUUUGCACAAAAUGAUUCGGAUUCACCCUUUAGGUCAGGUUCAUUGCCGUCUUCGCUAACUCCGGAUCGCAAGAUUCAACGCCGCAACUGAAAGCCUAUGCAACUUCGCAUCUUGUGCGUAGAGUGGUGAAGCCUCACACGUGAACUGAGAAUCUAAUCAAGAAGAAUUUGAAUUGGACUUAUUGUGAUAGGCUGUGAAAUCAAAACUCCGGUACUCUGAUUUUUGGCGAUUGACAGAUGAGUUGUGACGACAUCAUUGCGGUGUUUACAUAACGGCGGCAGGUCAAGAAACGGAGACCGAGAGGUGACGUUUGAAGGAAGUUAAAGCUUGAGGAUUGAAGGUGAAUAUGAAUUAUCGAGAAACCCUCUAGGCCAAUUGAAGAAGGAGCACUCUUUGUUGCAGAUGAUGAUUGGUGUUGGAGCAUCUCAAAGAUGAAUUGUGAAGAGUGAAGAUUUGAUGGGAGCCCUGAAUUGGAGCAAUGGAAAACAAUGCAGAGUUAGAAAAAACAUGGAUUGAAGCUGUUUGAAGGUGAAGGAAUUGUUCGAGAGAAGGUUGAAGGAAUUGGUUGAGACAAGUUUGAAGGGCUCGAUUGAAGGUGAGAGCUGAUAUUGAAGGGAUGAUUAUGUGAGAAUGGAUAUAAAGUGAUGUUGUUGCAGAGUGAAAAUUCCCUGCUGCAGAAUCGAAAAGAACUCUCUGCAAAAAUCCAAAAAAAAGCUCCUUCUCUCAAUGAUCAGCCAGGAUGCUUAGAUGAUUUGUGAACUUAUGGUGAACUUGGGAUGCUUUGAAUAUUGGAGUGAAACUUGGUUGCUUGCUCUAUGCACUUGUAUUGAAGAGUGGAGCAUGGUGGAUGCUAUUAAACUUUCAUUAUGUAUUGAUGCAAAUUUUGUUGUAAUUUGAAUUAAAGAAUGUGAAAUUGAGUUGGAUUAAUGAAAAAUGUUUGGAAUAAUGGUUGUAAUAGAAAUGGAUUGAUGAAAUUGUAAUGUGUAUUGAAUGGUUAAAUAUAUUGAAAGUUUGAAUGUUAUGGAAA